GACGAACGCUGGCGGCGCGCCUAACACAUGCAAGUCGAACGGAGCUGAGAGAAGCUUGCUUUUCUUAGCUUAGUGGCGAACGGGUGAGUAACGCGUGAGUAACCUGCCCUGGAGUGGGGGACAACAGUUGGAAACGACUGCUAAUACCGCAUAAGCCCACGAUCCGGCAUCGGAUUGAGGGAAAAGGAUUUAUUCGCUUCAGGAUGGACUCGCGUCCAAUUAGCUAGUUGGUGAGGUAACGGCCCACCAAGGCGACGAUUGGUAGUCGGACUGAGAGGUUGAGCGGCCACAUUGGGACUGAGACACGGCCCAGACUCCUACGGGAGGCAGCAGUGGGGGAUAUUGCACAAUGGGGGAAACCCUGAUGCAGCGACGCCGCGUGGAGGAAGAAGGUUUUCGGAUUGUAAACUCCUGUCGUUAGGGACGAUAAUGACGGUACCUAAAAAGAAAGCACCGGCUAACUACGUG
rnacentral:rRNA from 1 species